GCCAUGCAUCUUCCCAGUGAGGAGACUCCUGCCCGGCAAGCCACCGGCCCCUGAACAGGACCAUCCUGGCGGACCUCACCUUCUUUCUCCUUCAUUCGCCCCUGACCCACGCGCGGAAAAGCGGCCAGGGCGUUCGGACAUCUGAAAAUAAGGUGAAGAAACUGAGGCCAAGAGAUGAACGGCCCAGGAUCACACAGAUGGUCAAUUCACGGGUGAUGACCAGCACUUAAAAAAGAAGGAAAGAGAACCAAAAAGAAACAAUAGAAGACAUCACACAUAAUGAGAGUAAGCAUUGUUUCGUGAAACUUUUGUAUCCUGACUUCUAACACCAUAGAUUAGUUUUGCCUAUACUUAAAUUUAUGUAAAUGGGGUCAUAAUGCUAUGUACCCUUCUGUGUCUGGAUUCUGUCACUCAACAUUAGGCCUGUGAGAUUCAUCCAUGUUACUGCACGUCCUUGUAGCCCAUUCAUCUCAUUGCCCUGCAGUGUUCCACCGAGUGAUUCUAUCAAUUGAUUUAUCCAUUGUACUAUUGAUGCCCUUGAAGAGAUGCAGUCUUGGCAGUGGCCCAACAAAUGAAUGGAAUAAUGUGCAGCAGGUGUUAUUAUCCGAGUCACAGGCCCUACCCACCUGAAGGUAAAGAUAGAGUUGCCAGGAUGUGUGUGGGAUACAGAAUAGGGAGGAUCUGGAUGAGAGGGGCUGAGGAUAUGACCAGAAAGGGACGCUUCCUGAAGAUCCUGUAGCUCCCUGAGAUUACCUUUAUCCUACUGUUUACCAUGUAUUAUAGAAAAUGUCUGUUCAUCUGUCUGACUUCCCACUAGAUGGUGGAGGAGACUACAUCUUAUUCAUUGCUGAAUCCCCAUCCCUGAGCCAAGCCUGAGGCUGGUGCACAGUGGGCACUAGGGAAAUGCCUGUUGAACUGGCUAGGUUUGGACCAGUUUAGGAGAGCCUUCAUUGCCAGGAGUUGGGACUCAAUACUCAAAGACAAUGGGAGCCAUAGAAGGUUUUUGAGCAUGAAGAGGUCAUAAUCUAAAGAGUGUUUUAUUAAAAUUAACCUGAGCAGCAGCAGUGAGGAGGAGGAUGUUUUGGACAGAGGAAAACUGCAAGUGGGGUGGAAGGCAGGGAAGCUGGUUAGGAAGUUAAGAAGCUGGGGUGCCUGGGUGGC